GGGGACCAGCGCGGCAGCUGGUCGCGCACGGUCUCCAGCGCCCGGUGUGGAACUGUUCAACCCAAAACACGAUCACCAACCACUGACAUGUUUUAAGAAACGCUACAGUUGGAUGACUGCGGAACCCAAACAGACCAAAUGGGAGGCAAGAAGGGAAAGCAAUUGGCCCAAUUCGGUUGGAGCGGCGGCUCGUGUUACACUCCCUUUGCCAGUUAGCGGCGUGGGCGUUUGUUGCUGUGUUAAUUACAGUUCUUCCCGGAGUCGGAGGCGAGAACAGCCCUUGUGGAACCGUUUCAAGUGGAACGUUCCACCAGGAGGAAAACAACUGCCUUCCUCCCCAUCUGGGCGGGAUUCCACCCCGCAGCUCUCGGCGAAAGCCGAGCCGGAGAUGUUGCUGAAUGUGCACAGGGUCGGGUCGUAUCGCUGGUGCUGGAGGAGUCAGGAUUCCUGGACACGGUGGCCCCGCUCCAGAGUCCACGGUGCAGCCCAGCCCUACGCGGCCUGUAAAGUGAUAACGUCUUUAACCAGAGGUCCCUGUGCAGGUGGAAGGAGAAGACUGCUUUUGAUUCUUCCAGACAGAGGCUGUGGCUCCUUCCUGGUCCAUGUGCUUCCGUCCUUUGAAAGCUUGCUUUGAUGCCCUUGGACCAGAGCAGCCUAUAAAGAUAUGCUUGGACUUAAAGCACAAUUGCUUCUUCCUAGACAUGAGCUUUGGAGAAUUGAGUAACCUCGAGCUGGAAAGCAGUACACUUUGAAGCUUUAGAUCUUGUGUUAUUGUGAAGUCCAACUCUGGGAGCCAGUGUAACAUACUGAUUUCAGACCUGAGCACUGGGGUAAGACUGUGUGUGUCAAAAUCUUUAAUCCUUAGAUAAAUGACUUAAUCUCCCUUAGCCUCAGUUUCCUUAUCUGGAAAGUGAGGUUAAUAAAAUCUUUGCCUCAUAAAGAUUAGUUUCAGAAUUAAAUGGUAUUACAUGCUCAGCUAGAAAUUAUAGUAGGUACCCCCCAAAAUAUUUGCUACUAUUACAAGUUGAGUAUCCUUUAUCCAAAAUGCUUAGGAUCAGAAAUAUUUCAAGUUUCAGAUUUUUUAAAACUUUGGAAUACUUUCCUAUAUAUUAUAAGAUGUCUUAGAGACGGGUCCCAAGUCUCAACCUGAAAUUCAUUUAUGUUUCAUGUAGACCUUGAAGGUAUAGCUUGAAGGUAACAUCAUACAAUUAUAAAAUGUGUUUUGACUGUGACCUGUCACAUGAAAUCAAGUAUGGAAUUUUCCACUUGUGAUGUCAUGUCAGGGCUUAAAAAGUUUUGAAUUUUGGUGCAUAUCAGGCUUUGGAUAUUUGGACUAUGGAUGCUCAAUGUGUUUUACUAUUAAAAUUGACCAUGGGCAAGUUAUUUAACCUCUCAGUAUCACUUUUUUUAACCUGUAAAACCAGACCAUUAUACCUAUCUCAUUAAAAAAGGGCAGAAGAGGUGUAAUAAUGUGCAUG
rnacentral:lncRNA from 1 species